rnacentral:rRNA from 1 species
GACGAACGCUGGCGGCAUGCCUAAUACAUGCAAGUCGAGCGAAUGAAGAAGAAGCUUGCUUCUUUCUGAUUUAGCGGCGGACGGGUGAGUAACACGUGGGCAACCUGCCCUGUAGAUUGGGAUAACUCCGGGAAACCGGGGCUAAUACCGAAUAACCCAUUUCCUCACAUGUGGAAAUGUUAAAAGACGGUCUCGGCUGUCACUACAGGAUGGGCCCGCGGCGCAUUAGCUAGUUGGUAGGGUAACGGCCUACCAAGGCGACGAUGCGUAGCCGACCUGAGAGGGUGAUCGGCCACACUGGGACUGAGACACGGCCCAGACUCCUACGGGAGGCAGCAGUAGGGAAUCUUCCACAAUGGACGAAAGUCUGAUGGAGCAAUGCCGCGUGAGUGAAGAAGGUUUUCGGAUCGUAAAACUCUGUUGUGAAGGAAGAACAAGUACGAGAGUAACUGCUCGUACCUUGACGGUACCUCAUUAGAAAGCCACGG